rnacentral:rRNA from 1 species
UAGGGAAUCUUCCACAAUGGACGCAAGUCUGAUGGAGCAACGCCGCGUGAGUGAAGAAGGUUUUCGGAUCGUAAAGCUCUGUUGUUGGUGAAGAAGGAUAGAGGCAGUAACUGGUCUUUAUUUGACGGUAAUCAACCAGAAAGUCACGGCUAACUACGUGCCAGCAGCCGCGGUAAUACGUAGGUGGCAAGCGUUGUCCGGAUUUAUUGGGCGUAAAGCGAGCGCAGGCGGAAUGAUAAGUCUGAUGUGAAAGCCCACGGCUCAACCGUGGAACUGCAUCGGAAACUGUCAUUCUUGAGUGCAGAAGAGGAGAGUGGAAUCCCAUGUGUAGCGGUGGAAUGCGUAGAUAUAUGGAAGGACACCAGUGGCGAAGGCGGCUCUCUGGUCUGCAACUGACGCUGAGGCUCGAAAGCAUGGGUAGCGAACAGG